rnacentral:rRNA from 1 species
UACGUAGGGUGCAAGCGUUGUCCGGAAUUAUUGGGCGUAAAGAGCUCGUAGGCGGCUUGUCGCGUCGACUGUGAAAACCUGGGGCUUAACUCCGGGCCUGCAGUCGAUACGGGCAAGCUAGAGUUCGGUAGGGGAGACUGGAAUUCCUGGUGUAGCGGUGGAAUGCGCAGAUAUCAGGAGGAACACCGAUGGCGAAGGCAGGUCUCUGGGCCACUACUGACGCUGAGAAGCGAAAGCAUGGGGAGCGAACAGG